rnacentral:lncRNA from 10 species
GGCCUCCGGCAGGACGCGCCCCCUUCGCCGGCCUGGGCCUGCCGUGGGAAGGAAGGGCCCCGGGCCGCCCCGGAGCCACUGGGAAAGAGCGGAAGCCCGGCAGAGCCGCCGAGGGCCCGCCGCCCGCACCCCGGCCCCCUCCUCACCCUCGUAGAGCUGCCAUGCUGGAGAAGCCCAUGUGACAAAGACCUGAGGCUGGGCCCCAGUUGACAUCCGGCUACAACUGAGGCUAUCAGUCCAACAGCCUUGAAGGAUUGAAUCCUGCCAGCAACUGUGUGAGCUUCAAAGUGGAUCCUUCCUCAGUGGAACAUUCAGAUGAGACCUCAGCCCUGGCUGACAUCCUGAUCACAGCCCUGUGAGAGUCCCAGAAGCAGAGGCCCCAGUUAAGCUGUGCCCAGACUUCUCCCCCAACAGCCCAACAGCUCUUGAGUGAGUGAGACAGAGCUGACUUGAGUCCUGGGGUCACAGAUGCUUACAG